rnacentral:rRNA from 2 species
AGACCCGAAACCCGGUGAUCUAGCCAUGGGCAGGUUGAAGGUUGGGUAACACUAACUGGAGGACCGAACCGACUAAUGUUGAAAAAUUAGCGGAUGACCUGUGGCUGGGGGUGAAAGGCCAAUCAAACCGGGAGAUAGCUGGUUCUCCCCGAAAGCUAUUUAGGUAGCGCCUCGUGAAUUCAUCUCCGGGGGUAGAGCACUGUUUCGGCUAGGGGGCCAUCCCGGCUUACCAACCCGAUGCAAACUGCGAAUACCGGAGAAUGUUAUCACGGGAGACACACGGCGGGUGCUAACGUCCGUCGUGAAGAGGGAAACAACCCAGACCGCCAGCUAAGGUCCCAAAGUCAUGGUUAAGUGGGAAACGAUGUGGGAAGGCCCAGACAGCCAGGAUGUUGGCUUAGAAGCAGCCAUCAUUUAAAGAAAGCGUAAUAGCUCACUGGUCGAGUCGGCCUGCGCGGAAGAUGUAACGGGGCUAAACCAUGCACCGAAGCUGCGGCAGCGACACUGUGUGUUGUUGGGUAGGGGAGCGUUCUGUAAGCCUGUGAAGGUGUGUCGUGAGGCAUGCUGGAGGUAUCAGAAGUGCGAAUGCUGACAUAAGUAACGAUAAAGCGGGUGAAAAGCCCGCUCGCCGGAAGACCAAGGGUUCCUGUCCAACGUUAAUCGGGGCAGGGUGAGUCGACCCCUAAGGCGAGGCCGAAAGGCGUAGUCGAUGGGAAACGGGUUAAUAUUCCCGUACUUGGUGUUACUGCGAAGGGGGGACGGAGAAGGCUAUGUUGGCCGGGCGACGGUUGUCCCGGUUUAAGCGUGUAGGUGUGUGUUCCAGGUAAAUCCGGUUCACUUUAACACUGAGGCGUGACGACGAGGCACUACGGUGCUGAAGCAACAAAUGCCCUGCUUCCAGGAAAAGCCUCUAAGCAUCAGGUAACAUCAAAUCGUACCCCAAACCGACACAGGUGGUCAGGUAGAGAAUACCAAGGCGCUUGAGAGAACUCGGGUGAAGGAACUAGGCAAAAUGGUGCCGUAACUUCGGGAGAAGGCACGCUGACACGUAGGUGAAGUGAUUUACUCAUGGAGCUGAAGUCAGUCGAAGAUACCAGCUGGCUGCAACUGUUUAUUAAAAACACAGCACUGUGCAAACACGAAAGUGGACGUAUACGGUGUGACGCCUGCCCGGUGCCGGAAGGUUAAUUGAUGGGGUCAGCGCAAGCGAAGCUCCUGAUCGAAGCCCCGGUAAACGGCGGCCGUAACUAUAACGGUCCUAAGGUAGCGAAAUUCCUUGUCGGGUAAGUUCCGACCUGCACGAAUGGCGUAAUGAUGGCCAGGCUGUCUCCACCCGAGACUCAGUGAAAUUGAACUCGCUGUGAAGAUGCAGUGUACCCGCGGCAAGACGGAAAGACCCCGUGAACCUUUACUAUAGCUUGACACUGAACAUUGAGCCUUGAUGUGUAGGAUAGGUGGGAGGCUUUGAAGUGUGGACGCCAGUCUGCAUGGAGCCGACCUUGAAAUACCACCCUUUAAUGUUUGAUGUUCUAACGUGGACCCGUUACCCGGGUUGCGGACAGUGUCUGGUGGGUAGUUUGACUGGGGCGGUCUCCUCCUAAAGAGUAACGGAGGAGCACGAAGGUUGGCUAAUCCU